UACAGAGGUCUCAAGCGUUGUUCGGAUUCAUUGGGCGUAAAGGGUGCGUAGGCGGCGCGGUAAGUCGGGUGUGAAAUCUUGGAGCUUAACUCCGAAACUGCAUUCGAUACUGCCGUGCUUGAGGACUGGAGAGGAGACUGGAAUUUACGGUGUAGCGGUGAAAUGCGUAGAUAUCGGAAGGAACAUCGGUGGCGAAAGCGGCGCGCUGGACCUCUUCUGACGCUGAGGCGCGAAAGCCAGGGGAGCGAACGGG
rnacentral:rRNA from 1 species